rnacentral:rRNA from 1 species
GACGAACGCUGGCGGCGUGCUUAACACAUGCAAGUCGAACGGAAAGGCCCUGCUUUUGUGGGGUGCUCGAGUGGCGAACGGGUGAGUAACACGUGAGUAACCUGCCCUUGACUUUGGGAUAACUUCAGGCAACUGGGGCUAAUACCGGAUAGGAGCUCCUGCUGCAGGGUGGGGGUUGGAAGGUUUCGGCGGUUGGGGUUGGACUCGCGGCUUAUCAGCUUGUUGGUGGGGUAGUGGCUUACCAAGGCUUUGACGGGUAGCCGGCCUGAGAGGGUGAGCGGCCACAUUGGGACUGAGAUACGGCCCAGACUCCUCCGGGAGGCAGCAGUGGGGAAUAGUGCACUAUGGGCGGAAGCCUGAUGCAGCAACGCCGCGUGCGGGAUGACGGCCUUCGGGUUGUAAACCGCUUUCGCCUGUGACGAAGCGUGAGUGACGGUAAUGGGUAAAGAAGCACCGGCUAACUACGUG